UACAGAGGGGGCAAGCGUUGUUCGGAUUUACUGGGCGUAAAGGGCGCGUAGGCGGCGCGGUAAGUCACUUGUGAAAUCUCUGAGCUUAACUCAGAACGGCCAAGUGAUACUGCAGUGCUAGAGUGUGGAAGGGGCAAUCGGAAUUCUUGGUGUAGCGGUGAAAUGCGUAGAUAUCAGGAGGAAUACCGGUGGCGAAAGCGACUCUCUGGACGGCAACUGACGCUGAGGCACGAAAGCGUGGGGAGCAAACAGG
rnacentral:rRNA from 1 species